rnacentral:misc_RNA from 1 species
UUUUUUUCUGGUUUGUUAUUUGUUACUUCACAUUACAGGUUUUGCUGUGCCUGAAAAAUAAUUACUUUGGUUUUGAGUAUUCACUGUUCAGUUCUGCUCAUUUAGUUAACAAGGUUCAAACUCUUAUAAAAAUAAUAAUAAAUAAAUAAAAACGUAUGAAACACACGAAGAAAAGUGCGAUAAAAGUGUAUGCCAGAGUUAGACCAUCGCUAAUGAACAUUAGUCAUCAUUAUGAUGUACAGAAGCAAUCUGUAAAUUCUGAAGACAGAGAUCUAUUGGUACUCUAUGGCAUUCCUGAUCAUAAAGAUGGAUGUAAAUAUGGAUUUUUGUUUCAAAAAGUUUUCAAAGAAACUGCAAGACAGUGUGACCUUUAUGAAGUUGUAGCUAAACCUGUUGUUGAAAGAGUUUUCAAUGGUUACAAUGGAGCGAUUCUCGCUUACGGACAGACAGGCACUGGGAAAACACAUAGUAUAACUGGUGGGAGUGAUAAUUCUUCAAAAGGGAUGAUUCCAAGGGCUUUUAAUGGAAUGUUUAAGCUGAUAAAAAAUGCUCCUGAGAAGGAAUAUUCUGUGUCAAUAUCCACCAUGGAAAUUUAUAAUGAACUGUGCUAUGAUUUACUCAGUGAAGAAGGGAGCAACCACGAGGGUUUUACAAAAGUUUUGUUGUUGGAAGAUGCAGCUGGGACAGUAAAGUUGAGAAACUUAUCAGAGCAUAAAGUUUUUGAGAUGAAAGAAGUUGAUCGACUUCUAAAAAAAGGAAUGACAAACAGAACUGUUGCUGAUACACCGAUGAAUCCAGUCUCAUCUAGAUCUCAUUGUAUUUUUACAUUGCACUUACGGCAACGAGUAAAGCCUGGAGAUAGAAAAUGUGUGAAAUCAAAGUUACACAUGAUUGAUUUGUCAGGUUCUGAGCGUGUAUGGAAAAACAAUACAAGUGGGCUGUUACUCCAUGAAGCAAAGCACAUCAAUUUAUCACUACACUAUCUAGAACAAGUUAUAAUUGCUCUAUCUGAAAGACAACGGCUUCAUGUGCCAUACAGGAAUUCAACUAUAACUUCAUUGUUGAGGGAUUCACUCGGAGGCAAUAGCCACACUGCUAUGGUAUUCACAUUGUCACUAGAGCCGAACAAUUUUCAUGUACAGAAGGAAACUCUUUCUACUUGUCGUUUUUCACAAAGGGUAUCACUUGUCAAGACACAUAGUCAAAAGGUCAUUGACUACUCUAGUGAUACAGAAGAGGAGUUGGUCUUUCUUCGUUCUGAAGUCGAUAGGUUACGAAAGAUUAUUGGAAAGAUGAAAAUUGGAGUAGCAUUAAAUGAAGAUGAAGAAAAUCCAACUAAAAAUAAAGCCGAAGCAGAAGAUAAUUAUGAAGAAGACAGUUUUGAAGAAUAUGAUGAGAAAGCUAGCUGUUCUUCAGACCAGGAAUUUUGUAAAAUUGCCUGCAAUAUUGAGUCCAUCCAGAUGGAAAAUGUUACGAUGCCAAACGUUCCGCUUGAAGAUGAAGUGCUGUCAAAAAGCACAAUCAGAGAUGUUGAACUGCCAAAGAUUUCACUGGAAGAUGCAUUGAAAAGCAUUCCACUUGAAGAUGUGUUAAAAAACAUUCCAUUGGAACCAAAUGAAUCAGAAGCAAUGUCUGUUUUAUCAAGUGAAAACAACAAAAAAGUUGCAGUGGAAUCUCCUGCCCCUAAACACAUUGAACCAUUUCGGCAAAAUCAUUGUGUGGGAUUACAAGGAGAAAAUGAGAUCAGUUUGUCAUUUGACUUCAAAAGCACUGUUUCUCACAUCAAUCGAGGAAUUUUGAUGCUGACAACUCUUUUAAGACAUGUAUCUUCAGUAUUAACAAUACAAGAGGAAGAGAGAAUAAAAAUGUUUGAUGUAGAAAAAUUAAGUAACAUAAUGGGGCUUACACUACCACACAUAAAUCCAAACACCGGUGAACCUUAUACCGAUGAAAAACGUGAGGCAUUUACAACGUUUUUACACCUGAAAAAAUCCAACAGAGCAUUGUAUUUGUAUGCUGAAAUGCAUAUAUCGUAUUUCUCCCAAUUGGAAGCAGAAUGGCAACUUUGGAAAAAAGUCAGUUCUCUAAUGCCAGAACUUGAUUUGUUAGAAAAAGAAUUACAAAAUGCGCAGAGCAAAGGUGAAUUUCCUGAUGUAUUAGAGACUUUAGAAAUUGCAUAUAUUCAUAAAAAACGCAAGUUGGAAAGGGCAAAAGAAAAACUCGAGCUUCUAAGUAAAGAACGAUUCGAUAGCUUAAGAAUGUUCAGAGAUGCAAAACAGUCACUGUUGAAAAGCUUUGAACUCUGGUGGGAUGAAAAAGGUUGUCAGCUUCCAAUAGAAACAGUCCAGACUAAGAAGACAAAAAGUUUAAUGAGAUUAAGGAAAUGGUCUGAGAACCUAAGGAUGCCAUCAAGUACAAAACAUGGCACAGGCCUGAAGAACACAGUGCACAGUUAUGGCAAAAUGAAGUAAGGGAGAUAUUAAAAAACAGCGAUGAAAAAUUGCCUUAUUCUCACCAUUCUGGUGGAAAACUUAGCCAACGUUCUUCCCCUAAUUCUUCAGCCACCAUGAUUCAUGAAUUGUCAAAACAAAAGGCAAGUUUACCAAAUAUCCGCAGCAUUGAUAUCAAGCUAACAGGAGAUUCAGAUAUUGAUAAAGAGAUAAUGAAUUUCUACAACAACAGAGCUGGGACAUGAAGAUAAUGGCCAAAUGUACUUGAUUAUUGUACCAUUUUGUAUUAUAAAAAAUGUAAAAAUAACCAAUAAAUAACUAUUGGUAUAAA